UUCAAAAACGUCCUAAGAGUUCACUGUGUUAUGGACUGUAAACAUUCAAGUCUAGUACAGAAAAGUUGUUUCUAUUUUCUAGUGACAUUAAUUAGCACAAAUAUUUUCUUUUCAGCAAAUUUUGCAUUCCCGUGGAGAUAGAGAGCAAUACGCCUAAACACUGAAGGAGGAAUUUGCCAGUAUGCUGAAUUACAAGUGCAUGAGGGGGGAAUAAUACCACUCAAAACCUGUUUGUUGCCCAGUGAAGAAUGUCAGAAACCUGGUGUCAUCUAAGCAUCAGCUGUUUCUGAAGGUUACCUGCAGCUUCAGGAUAGCUUUAUGUCACCAAAAUAAAACCUGGACCUGUUGCAGAAGUGGAUUUGACAUCUUGCAGAACUUUUAGAACUUCUGGCCUGAAUGUUAUGAGGAAUGGAAAGAGUCAUGGAUGAAGAAUAUAAAUGUCACUUGAGAUAUAACGGAAUGAGAGGAAUUCCACAGCUGAAGGCUUAAGAGCUUCUGCACGAGGCUAAAAUGUUCCUUGAACAUCCCAGUCUUUCUUCUAUGUGAUCUGUCUGUGCUGAGAUUCAGCCAGCUUGCAGUCCUCUGUCCAGAGUUUUCAGAGAAAGCUACUCAAACUAAAUAGCUCAAACAUGCUGGAGAUGCAAAAAUUGCAUCUCUUCGUCAUAAUGGUGCUAUCAAAAAACCUGCAGUAACAAGAUAUAUCGUGUUGUUGUUCAAAAAGUGGACACGACUGCAGAAUUUUAUACAUUCUGGAACUGAGUAGGUUGUAGUGCACUCAUCGAAUAAGCUUUAGAAAUUUGUCUGUCAUAACCAAUUUUUGGAACUAGAGAUCAGCUUUGGUGCAUAAGCUGUCCUCCCUGUUCCACUGUUAGCUUAACAUCUGGAUGAUAUACUCAGGGUGAACAAGGGGGAAUCACUGCUUCAAUAGCUGAGAAUAUGAGGUCUUAUCAGGUCUCCAACAGGUAGAUAAUUGACCAGAAUGUAUGCUGGUCUCCUCUGGCAGCUUCAGGAAUGGAUGGAGUUCCUUAUCCUGUCACGGUAGUUCCUGAACAAGAACCCUGUCUCCCACAGAAGAGGUAUCACUCAAACUGGCAUAAACGAUUGGUCCAAAUGGUCCAAAAAAAGCAGAGAGGGGAAGUGAGUUUAGGUUAGUGAACUUAAAGUGAAGUCUUCAGGAGAAAACCAUCUAACAGCAGGUUUCUCUUUUACAAGAGGGUGUUCUAUUUGGGUAUUUUCCCUGACAGAACAAUUUGGGAAUUUCAGAGAAAUUGGGGAAUGAUUCAGUACAGUAUCAAACUAGUAGUUUAUUAAAGUAUUGCAGAGCUGUCUCCCAUGUGUUUAGCUGAAUAAAUGUCAAAAUGUUUCUUAAAUAGAGUAUUUUGGGGGGGAAAAUGGUGAAUUUGUUCUUCCCCUUCAUUUUAAACAAUUGUCCAUACCUAACACCAUAAUUAUUUGACUGAUUUUAUCUUAAAUUCCACUUAGAAGCUGAAAAAAAGUUUGUGGAAGUUGGGGGUCCUGAUGCCAGUCCAAGAUGAGAGACUCUACUUAACAAAAUUCUCUGCUAGCUGCAGCUUAUAAACCAAAUGCAAGUAUAACCCUUUAGAGAGCUCACAGCAGUAUUUUAUUAUUGAAUAAUCAAAGGCAGGGGUUAGAUGGGCAACAUCCAGCUUUGAAACAGUAGACCACUCCUCCUACAAGCAACAAGAUACAAAUCAGUGUAAGUCUUCCCCCUCUGGAUAAACUAAAAUCUAACUAAUCUCUCAAACUGCAGGACCUGGUAAGAAAUAUUUCAAUCAUCUUUUAGAUCUUUCAGCCAGUCAUAGAAGUCAUAAAGAAAAGCAAGAAAAAUGAAACAAUAUCUAGAAAGCCUGGCAUACAGAGGGUUAAAGAUGAAAGAGAAGAGGAAGCACUUGAUAACAAUCUUUAAGUACAUGAAAUUUCAGAAAAAAAAUGAAGCAUGCCCAUAGGCAGUGGGACAAAUUGCCUCAAGGAAAAUCAGCUUAGAUACUAGGUAAAAUUUCUUACCAUAAGGAGAUGUAUCCAUUGGAGAGCUUGGGGAAAUUGGGGAACAUCCAAAGUUGUGGGGUCUUAAGGAGCAAGUGAAACAAACACCUAUCAGGACUGAUGAAGAUAUAAACACUUCUGCUUGCAAUUGAGGCACGGAUUGGAAGACCCCAUGCAACCCAUUUUCUACAUUCUCCAUGGCUACCAAUUUAUUUUUUUAUUUAUUCUGGCUGGUGUUGGACUACUCCUAACAAUAUUCCCAUGGCAAUUUCCAAAAGAAGUAAAUGUUGAAAAUUUGAAAGAGCACAUAUAAUUACUUAGAUAACCUCUAUUCAUUGAAUGCAUAGCAGACUUUAGGAUGACGGUUUAAAUGUUUUGGCCAUGUGCACAACAGAUCAGGGAAGGUGAAAGAAAAAAAGAAAAAGAAAACUGCCAGGAAAAGUGAAUAUUUAGUAACAGAAUGAUGGCAGGGAGUAUUAAAUACAUUACUAUCUGAGAAUGUUCAAAAGAAAUUGUAAAGAACUGUGUAAUAAAUAUAAGAACUGAGAUUUAAGCCCAAAACAAACAUUCAGUUGAAAUACUUUUAACUUUGAUAGAUUUUGCACAUUCAGAUUCUUUGGAUAAAGUGAAGAAGCAGAAAACUUUUUUGGAUCAAAGUCCAUCUUAAGUUUGUUACAUUGUGUUAAGACAUCUUCUGGCUCUUAAUGAUGACAAACGCUAGGGUCUUUAAAGGGUGAUGAGCAAAACGAUCACUGGGCAUACCAAAAAUGUGCAUCAUGCUGACCUUUGCUAAGUUGGCACUUUUGAGCUUCCAGAGACAUGACAUCCCUUCACGGAGGAAAAGGAAUGCUGGCAGUACUGUAUUUAUUUGGAGCCAGCAUAUACUGUUUCUUUCAUAUGUACUUAAAAAUGCAUAUGUUCUUUGUGGAAAACAGUUAGGCAUCCAACACUGCUGUUUGUAUUCAAUGAUAACAAAGUCAAGCAGCAAAGCAAAAGCUGACCUUCAGUCUGGUUGAGGUACCACUGCUUUAUUUUUCAGCCUUUUUAUAGCAUCAUUUUUUAUAAAGAGGCAUUUUUAUUUCUUCUUUGUUGUUCUUUCUUGGCCAAGGACUAUUUUUUAAAUUAGUUUCUCUCAAUAGGCUCAAGAUGACUGCAAAUGUUCUGGAGAGAAAAAACUUAAGGGGUAGCUUUCACAGGAGGGAGACUGUGGCUCCUUCCAAGCCUUCAUGAAAGUAGGACAAGCAGACAUGAGGAGAAAUUACCUGUAUGAAGGGAAAGAAUUAAACAAUAGGAAGAACUGCAGCAGACAAAAGAUUGGUCUUGGUCAUCAUAGCUGACCGAAGCUGAACUUUACAUUUUCUGUGAUGUCAAUGAAACGAGCCGUGUUCCAGAUCUCAUUAGGACACUGAUUAUCAAAAACUCCAAGUUUACUACAACUGUUUGGAAGUACCUUCCAGGUAUUAUGUCCCUACCAGAGGUGGAGUUUCAUACUUGAUCAAUUUUCCUGAAGUGAGAUCAGUUGCAGAAACAUGCAAGCUACACUGACAGACCUACCAAAUGCAGAGCACAUAAAACUUAGGAUAUCAGUGUUACUUAAAGGGGAUGUAGUCCAUCAUAAACUGAGCAUAUAUAGUGUCUGAAAAUCCAUAGGAGUCUUUUCAGAGAUAUCUUUUUAUGGAACAAAUUGAGAAUCCUUAUAUCAGAGAGUGAAAAAGGAAUAACUCAUAUAUACUAUCAUAAAGCUCUCCCUAAUUCCUGUGUUAUAGAAAUCUUAUGCUGUUAAUCUCUCUUUAACAGAUGUACUGUUGCAAAUAUAAUAGUUCUGUCAGAACCACUUUCAUUCCUUAGAUUCUUAAACCUGGAAAUCCUUCCUGUAGGCAAGCGUAUUCUUUGUGCCAAAACACAAGACAAUUUGAAAAACAAUGCUGACGUUUUCUGAAGCAGAUUAUCUCCAUGCCAGGAAUGGAACAUUUGAUAGCCCCGAGAAUUUCUGGGGGCAGAAAUGCAAGACAGUUCUUGAGCCACAAUGAACAUCUGGCAUUGUGCCUUCAGAAAUAAAUACUUCAUUGUUACCUGUUUAUUGUAAAUUACUUUUUAAAUUCAUAAAUCUUAGGGCAUAUUUAAAUCCAAUUUCUACAUUGUGAAUAAUAUGAUAAAUACGUUAUUGAAAGAGUAAUCCUUAUAUACAGUAACACUGCAUCUGGCUGCUUCCAAGUGCUGCGAGCACGACCUUCCUAAGACAGAAGUAUACUACCACCAUUUGUGGAUGAUCAGGUAUCUAUGCACAGGCAUGAGGGGAUAGCAUAUGGGACUGUCAUUACUCUGGCAGUCCUAUUCCUACCGUGGUGAAGGAUGGCUCAGGCAAUAGCCCAUGAAUGGCAUUAAAUAGAGAGAAAGAUCCUAUUUCCUCUCUGAAAACAGAUCAUACUCUGGCAGGUUCAAAGAAGAAAACAUGCUGUACAAUUUCAAAGUAAAACCUGGCAAUGUCACUGACUUCCAGCUCUCUACACAUAGAAAGCCAAGGGCUUAUAGAGUAUACUGAACAAGUCAAUGAGAACAAAAUAUUCAGUUUCUUUAAGUUUCUAUGCAGUACAAGUUGUGAGGAACCGUAUAAAGCAAAGGAAGGUUUUGGGUAUUGGUUUGUAAAUGUUUGUAUCAACAUUUCAAUUCUCCUUUUAAGAUUUCAGCAGUCAGACCAAGAAUUAGGGAACAAAUAACUUCCAAGUGAUUGCAACAUAACCAAGAGCAACCUGGAAAAAUUACAGCUGAAUUUGUCUUAAAAAUCUAUCUAAACUUAAAACUAUUUACAACAGGGAAAAAUAAAAUGGGCGAUUUCAUUUCAUUUGCAGGAAAAAAAGUAGCAGGAAUAUACAGACAGAGUAUUUGGGUAUUCACACACUAUUUCUAUUGCAGGAUUUUGUUGUGGCUUCUGAAAGUAAUGGUAGCUGCUUGUGAUUCUGCACAGAUACUUGUCAGAAAAUACAAGACAUUAUCUAGAAAAGAGAAAGCUUUUUUUGAUUGGAAUAAAAUUUCCUAAAUUGGGAAAUGAUGUUACAUUUUGAAAUAAUGCAAAUACUUCUGAAAAAAACAUAAAGUUGUUUUGGGUUGAACAUAUUCUACAAGUAACUAAUCUCUUCUAAAGCAUAUUUUGCCAUUUCUACAUUUUUCAGGAGUUGGAAUUUUGCAUUUCCUCAUGUGCAUGCUGAGUCAGAGACUAGUAGAAAUUAAAUUAAAAUCAGGAUUCACACUGAUGUCAGUGGGAUGUGACUUAUCACUGCACAUUUCUUUAUGCUUCCCUUCUUGAAUGACUGAAUUAUUAGAAUCAAAGGAUCGAAGGAUAAUUCAGGUGGGACAGGACCUCAGGAUGUCUAUAGUCCAUCCCAUUCAAAGUAGUGUCAGCUCUAGGAUUGGACCAGAUGCCCAGGGCUUUAACCAGUUGGAUCUUGAAAACUUCCAAGGAUGGAGACAGCACAGCCUUUAUGGGCAAGCUGCUCCACUGCUGGGCUGUCCUCAUGGUGAGAAAGUUUCUCCUUAUAUCAUGUUUAAAUCUCUCAUUUCACCUUAUGCCCGUUGUCUCUCUCCUUUCCACCACAUACCACUGUGAAGGGCUUGGCACUGUCUCUCAGUAACUUUCCCACAGGCACUCCCAGGCUGCUGUCAGAUGCCUCUUCUCCACACUGAACAAGCCCAGCUCCCUCAGCCUCUCCUCACAGGGCAAGUGCCCCAGCCCUGAUCAUCUUGGUGGCCUCUGCUGAACUUGCUCAACUUUGUCGAUGCCUUUCCAGUAUUGAGGAGCCCCAAACUGGAUGCAAUAUCCUAGACGCACUCUAACGAGUGCUGAGUAGAGGGGGAUAAUCCCUUCCCUCGAUUGAUAGGCUGUGCUCUUGUUAAUACAGCCCAAAGUGCUGUUGGCCCUCUGCUGCCAGGACACACUGGUGAGUCAUGCUUAGCUCACUGCCCACCAGGACCCCCAGGGCCUUUCCUGCAGACCAGCUCCCCAGCCAGUCAGUCCCAGCCUGUAUCAUCGCAAGGGGCAGUUCUCGCUGUAUUUCAUAAUGUCCCUGCUGUACCAUCCCUCCAGCCAGGCCCCUCUGGAUGGCAGCCUUGCCCUUGAGCGUAUCAACUGGGCAUCACAAUUUUAUAAAUCACAGAUUUAUAAAUGAAGCACACUGAUAACUGUCAAAAGUUGUGUUUGCACCUCAGCUACAAGGUUCUUAGCCCCGAGCAGAAUAUUCUGUAGUUUUUGAGGGAGUUCAGAUCCAAUCUCUCAGACAACUGCUUUGUAUUCAUAAACCUAAUUGAAAAUCAAAGGCCCAGAAAGGUCUGAAACCAAUUUCUCAUGCCUGAGAAAACAUGCUACAGGAAAAAAAGGAACAGGGACCUAGAAUAUAGCACUGUGAUUAGGACACAACAACCUAUGCAUUCAGCUUUCCGCUUUGCUCCAGGGUUCCUGCAUGACAGCUGAAAGGUAAACGCCUGAAUUGUUUAGAGAACAAUGGCCUUAGUUUUGUACCUCAGUUUCGUGUCUGCAAAAUUGGGAUAAUAAUAGUACUUCCUUAAGCCUCAGGAGGGUAGGGGUUCUUCCAGGCUACAGCCUCAAAGGGAAAGCAGCAUUGCCAGCAUGGCCAUGCCUGAUGUCUAGAGGUCUGGAAAACAGCUCAAUUCUGGAAAGAGAUACCAAGGACCAGGAAGAGUUAGCUGAUGCCCUUUUCUGGGCCAUGGCUCCUGCGCUUCUGUAUAAUCCUGUCUGUAUGCCUUUAUCCUGCUAAGCUGAGACCUGUACACAUACCAUUUCUCGGCUGUAUAGAUUGGGAGGGAAAUGUGACGCAUUUCAGUGUCUUCCAGAUUUAAGUAACCAAGAGAUCAGGAGUGCUAUAUAGGUGUAGACUGUACACCCCUGAAUAAGUUCCAUAACAGCCAGUGCUCGGAGAAGUGUAUUGCCUAGAAUAACCAAGAAGGAACAAGGAGACUAUUUUAAAGUUCUUUGGGAAAUGUAAGUCUGUUGAAGAAAGCUGACCAUCUGAUGGUUGGAGGUAGUACCUCACUUUUUAAAUAAUAAUACAGUGGUUGCAACACCCACCCAAGGAUUUUGUGACCUGCGUUCAAUUCCUUGCUCACCACAACAGGACUGGAAACCGAAGCAUGUCUUAACUUAAUCGCUAGACCUCACUUGAGUGAGGAUGCAUGCCUUUCCUCUUGUUGAGGCUGUGACAAUGCAUUGGAAGUAAUUCAGGACUAAUUAGACCAGGAGGUGGACAACCACAGUGUGUAUUUGUUGUGGUAGGCUAAAGUCUGCUUUCUCAUUCCCUCUGCCUUCCUCUUUUACCUUCUUUGAACCUGUCCCAUGCGUGAAAUUUCACCUCUUUUCUGGGCCUUCAGCUCUUCCUCAGCCCAAAAUGCUGGGCUGGUCUCGGCUGGGCCUGCAGCUACCUUCAUGGUUCUAUCACCUUGUUCUUAUGCUGACUCCCUCCUAGUGCACCUGGAAAUCCCUUUUCCCUGACUCUUGACUCAGACUGGUGGUUAUAGAGUCAUGGCCAAAAAUUUCAACAUAAUGCUGUUUUAAUAUCAAGAUGAGAUACAUUAAAAACAAGAUAUUUGGACUCAUGGAUGGAUCAGUGCCAAAUAUGAACAUUCAGCUGUCAAAGUGACACUCAUUUGAUGAGUGUUGUGUUUUUGUGUUAAUUACCUUGAGGACCUUCCUUCCAGGGUGUCCUCUUAUAUCUCAGGCUGCCAACUGCUAUCCUCUUGUGUGUUUGUCUCUUCCUCUAGACUUCCAGGAUUUUAGGGCUGCAGCCCAUUUGUUUGACCUUCAGAUAUCUGACCUUUUUUCAGCAUAUUCAGCCUGUAACCUGCAACCUUUUCUUUCUUAUGAUUAGUGAAAGAAUGAUCUGUGACCAGUUUGCAUUUAUAAAGGGGAAUAGUAUUUUUAUUUAGGACAAAGGUAUUACUGAGAGAAAAAUAUAAUAGAAGGAAUAAUAAAUAAGACUAUACACUUCUGAGUAUACUACCUUCUCUGAUGGUUUUAUCCAUCAGCCGCUUGGAAUCCUGAUAAAUAAAAA